GUUUCCUAUUAACCUGGGAUCUGAGCAACGCCCAUCACUUCAUCUAACACCUUGUGAGUGGUGGCCAGGGAUCUGAUGUUUUGUGAAACAAUGCUCCUCACAGCUGAUGAACCCGAAGGGAAAAUCUGCUGCUGGGACUCUUGGGAUCCCUCAUGGAAGAGCUAAAUCGGCUAUUUAGGACAGGAUUAGUUGCAUUGAUCUGGCUGUUUACAGAAGGAUUUGCAGGGCAUUGGAGUGUCUUUAAUUUAUGGAAUUGAUCCAAAACACCCAUCCAGCAGUGGUUUGCCAGGCCUACAGAGGUGGAGGUGACAAGAUCCCGUGCUGCUGUUGAACUGCUGCUGACAUCUUAAUUGUCUGAUAUUUUCCAGUGCCUUUAUUUUUUUUUUUUUUUUUUUUGGUUCGGGAGUAAGACCUGGUAGCUUUUUCACAUGUAUAAAACACACUUGUGAGCUUAAGCUGGUGCCUGCUCAGAUGCUCUUCUGGUGUUUCUGGUGGUUGUGUGCUCCAAGGGCACAAGCUAACUUGCAUUGCCGUUCUGCUGCUUUGAAUUAGAAGAGCGCAGAAUUUCCUGGGGUUGUGCUGUCUUCUGCAAGGACAAUCAAGAAAUCUGUAUUGGAAACAUGGUGGAGUUACUCCCUGGUGUUUCCUUGGAAAACUCUUACUCUCCUCCAGCCAUGAUUGAAUUCAUUGUAGAAAUAAAUGCAACAAAAUCCUUUUACAGAA